UACGAAGGGUGCGAGCGUUAAUCGGAAUUACUGGGCGUAAAGGGUUCGUAGGCGGUUCGUUAAGUCUGUUGUGAAAUCCCCGGGCUCAACCUGGGAAUGGCAAUGGAUACUGGCUAGCUAGAGUGUGUCAGAGGAUGGUGGAAUUCCCGGUGUAGCGGUGAAAUGCGUAGAGAUCGGGAGGAACAUCAGUGGCGAAGGCGGCCAUCUGGGACAACACUGACGCUGAAGCACGAAAGCGUGGGGAGCAAACAGG
rnacentral:rRNA from 1 species